CUUAUUUAUCAAAAUUGUCAUUAUUUUAUGGCAAUUUGCUGUAAGAUUGCGAAAAAUUUAGUGGACUAUAUUGUCAGCAUGAUAUAAAUGAACUUUGGCUCUCCCAUAGAUUCAAUACUGACUUCUGAUGCUGUCAUCAAGUAUAGUUAAUGCAGUCUUCACAAAAAAGAAAAAAUAUUAUGCCCCUGGUUAAAAAAAAUUGUUUCUCUCUCAAAUUUUCAUUAAUAUUAAAUAUUCAAAUGAAAUAUUUCAGCAAAUAUGAUAAAAAACAAUAUAGUGUUAUUGAACACACAUACUUGUGGAUCUACCAGGACAAACUAUACAGGCAUUUAGGCCUAACGUGGUUGUAUGUGGCAGUCGUGUAAGUUCAAAUGGGAAUGCGAAAUCCUUUGAUACAGUAACUGACAGCAACAACAGUUUAAUCAAACCAUAGAUCUUUUAUUGAGAGAUAUUUCACAUAAGUAUUUUCAGAGGACAGAUACCUUUUUCUUUUUGUGUCAAUGAUGAUCUAUAAAAACUGAAAUGAUGAUUCCGACUUAAAUUUCGAUUACACUUUUUCAGCCUAUCAAUACAAAAAAAUAUUGGAGUAUUUCAAUAUUUUUUGAUAUAUGUAGCAGAAGUGAUUCUUGCUCCUCCAGCUAGACUGAUUCCUGUAGCUUCUGCCAUUCUAUCUGGUGCCUGACACCACAUGAAGACCGAUUAUUCUUCAACUGCCCAGGUGAAAUUUCCAAGACCGACUAUCUGAUCUUUACCCUCCUUCAAGAAUGUUGAUUAUUAUUUUUUCUUAUUUUGUAUGCCAAAGUGAUCAAAUAACUCUUUUGAUUUAUGGAUUAUUGUUUAACUCUGUACUUGUAAUUAAAUCACAGUUUGAUAUAUAUCAUUUGACAUUAUAUAUUUUAUUUCCCCUCUUUUCUAAAUGUCUUCAAAUUCUAGACAUUAUAAUAAAAAUAACAAUAAUUAUUUUAUUGAGGGUCUCUUCAGAUCUUGUAUACUA
rnacentral:lncRNA from 1 species